rnacentral:rRNA from 1 species
AACGAACGCUGGCGGCAUGCCUAACACAUGCAAGUCGAACGAGACCUUCGGGUCUAGUGGCGCACGGGUGCGUAACGCGUGGGAACCUGCCCUUAGGUUCGGAAUAACUCCCCGAAAGGGGUGCUAAUACCGGAUAAUGUCUUCGGACCAAAGAUUUAUCGCCUUUGGAUGGGCCCGCGUUGGAUUAGCUAGUUGGUAGGGUAAAAGCCUACCAAGGCGACGAUCCAUAGCUGGUCUGAGAGGAUGAUCAGCCACCCUGGGACUGAGACACGGCCCAGACUCCUACGGGAGGCAGCAGUGGGGAAUAUUGGACAAUGAGCGAAAGCCUGAUCCAGCAAUGCCGCGUGAGUGAUGAAGGCCUUAGGGUUGUAAAGCUCUUUUAACCGGGAUGAUAAUGACAGUACCGGGAGAAUAAGCCCCGGCUAACUCCGUG